rnacentral:misc_RNA from 1 species
ACUUGGCCAAUUCUUGAUACUUGGGAGACACUUGAGACCUACAGGAACUGCUCACAGUCUUUUCACUCAAUGGUUCUAUUAGAUUUGAAAUUUCAUGGCCAGAGGAUGACAGAUCAUUGACAACAGAUUCUACUUCUAAACCAUCAAGAGCAUCAGCACUGGCAGAACUUCCAAUAUUGUCUGAACUAGAAGGUUCUUCAUUU